GACGAACGCUGGCGGCGUGCCUAAUACAUGCAAGUCGAACGGUUUAGUUCCAAGAGGCUUGCCUUUUGGAACUAGACAGUGGCGGACGGGUGAGUAACACGUAGGCAACCUACCUGUCAAACCGGGAUAACCUCGGGAAACCGAAGCUAAACCCGGAUAAGCUCCUUUUUCGCAUGAAGGGGGAGUGAAAAGGUGCGACCUGAUGACAGAUGGGCCUGCGGCGCAUUAGCUAGUAGGUAGGGUAACGGCCUACCUAGGCGAUGAUGCGUAGCCGACCUGAGAGGGCGUACGGCCACACUGGGACUGAGAUACGGCCCAGACUCCUACGGGAGGCAGCAGUAGGGAAUCUUCGGCAAUGGGCGAAAGCCUGACCGAGCAACGCCGCGUGAGUGAGGAAGGCCUUCGGGGUGUAAAACUCUGUUGUUUGGGAAGAAGGGAAAGGGUAGGACCCUUAGGUGACGGUACCAAACGAGAAAGCCCCGGCUAACUACGUG
rnacentral:rRNA from 1 species